CGUGACUGGGGUGAAGUCGUAACAAGGUAGCCGUAGGGGAACCUGCGGCUGGAUCACCUCCUUAAUCGA
rnacentral:rRNA from 1 species